AUAGACGGAGCCAGGACACGGU
rnacentral:miRNA from 1 species